GUGGGUACCUACCCCGGGGUCCGGGAUAGCCGUCCGAGAGGGCGGGUAAUACCGGAUGACGUGGAGACACCAAAGGUCCGCCGCCCCGGGCGGGGCCCACGUGGUAUUAGCUGGUUGGUGGGGUGACGGCCCACCAAGGCGGGGAUGCCUAGCGGGUGUGGGAGCACGACCCGCGCCACUCGCACUGAGACACUGGCGAGACACCUACGGGUGGCUGCAGUCGAGGAUCUUCGGCAAUGCGCGCAAGCGCGACCGAGCGACGCCGCGUGGGCGACGAAGGCCUUCGGGUUGUAAAGCCCUGUCGAGGGGGAGGAAAGCCCGAAAGGGUUUGACCCAUCCCUGGAGGAAGCUCGGGCUAAGUUCGUGCCAGCAGCCGCGGUAAGACGAACCGUCCAAACGUUAUUCGGAAUUAUUGGGCUUAAAGGGUGCGUAGGCUGUGCAGUAAGUUGGGUGUGAAAUCCCUCGGCUCAACCGAGGAACUGCGCCGAAUACUGCUGCGCUA
rnacentral:rRNA from 1 species